UUUCUUUGAAAUAAACCCGCGGUCCCUGUUUAAGUGGCUGUGCAGAAAACGUUUCGUUUUUGCAGAAAGAACGCUGCACUUAUUAGUAUUCAACCCGCGAUCCUUUUUUAGUUAAGAGAGAAAGGAAAAAAACACCCACGAGCACGACCCCUCCCACAUCUCCACCUCCAGUGCGCCGCCACCCCUGCCAUGCUGCUGCGCGCCGCCGGGCGCGGCGACGGCGAUCUCCGGCCAGAUCCGGACGAGGAGGUGAGGCAGUGGCAGGAUCCUGUUUCGGAACGGCGUGGAGGCGAUCUAGGAGGCGCGGGAGGAGGUCCAGCGGAGGGGCUUGAACUCCAAGUUCAUGGCGGCGGUGUUCCUCGCCGGUUCCGAGCGAGAUGGCAAGCUCCGGCGGAGUCUCUCCAUGGAUACGGUGGCGCUGCACCUAUGAGAGAGACAUAUGUGAGGCGAGAGAUAGAAAGGAAGGAGGGGCAGUGAGAAGGAGAGGGCGCGAGGACCGGCGAGGAAGUCCUGGUGGUGCCCGUGUCCUGCAGCAGCUCAGCUCCAGGGCCGCGUUGCGAUACGGCAUCGACGGGAGGCGAUGGAGAUGAGCAGCUUGUGUCCGUCCUGCAGCGCGCAUUCUUAAUCCCCAAGCACUAGAUCGCAACGCCGGCCCGCCAGCCCGCACAUAUGCAUGUGUGCAGCCCCCACCCAUGCGUGAGCCGUGGCGCGCGUGGCCGCCGAUGAUCUGGUGAGAACCCACAUCGCUGAGCAGGUUGCAGCGGUGCUUCUCUUGAAUUUACUAAUUUUCGCAUGGUGCAGGCCCUCUGACUUCACCUUUUUGGAAUCGCUUAGGAUAUUUGAUGCUUGCCUGCAUAUAUGUGCACACCGGCACACGGCACACCGAAAUGAUGUGAAGUCAUCAGCUUUUUUCAUAGAAACAGUAGCAGAGGAUUCUUCUAUACUGGAGUAUAAGUCAAUUAUCUUUGGCCUAAUAAGAGAGCAAAUUAAUUAACUAUAUCUGAAAAAUCAUUAAAUCCAGAAUAAGCACAUGCUCCACAAAUGCUAUACAUGUUCUCCCCUAUGUUCUUUUUGGUAAUCCAUUUCACCACUGACUAAAUUGUAUCACCCUGUGCUAGGUCUGAAUUUGACGGUUUACUUGAGAAAACUUCUGCUGAAGUUAAUGGUUCCCUGUCAAAUCUGCGCAUAUGUAACUGCAGCAAGAACUGCUGGUGAUGCACAAGCUAGGGAUCAGCUGGAACGUCCUAUUGAAUGCCUUCAUGGAGACAAUUGUUUGAAGAUUAUUUCGCCAACCAUGUGGAGCCGCUGACGUUUACUCUCCCUGAAGACUCAGUGGCCAGCUCAGGUGCUUCCUUCGAUCUGAUCUGCAGCAAAGCGUUUUCCAUGACCUCUUGAAUUCUUGUCGAUGGAUCCAAGUCAAAAUAAAAUUGUUUUGCCAAUGAAAGCACAUAUGAAUUGUUCCUCUAAUUUGGUAUUCUUUUCGGACACUGUACUAAUCGUGAAGUUGCUAUUAUGAUCCUCAUUGCUUAUUUAAUGAUGGCUGAAGUGUACUAACAUCAUAUUCAUACAAUAUAAUUUGUCAUUAUUAUCAGCUAGCUUAAAUGAUAUUCACUGGUUGCUUUACAUGGCACUUGCUUGAGUUGAGUGAUACUCUUAGUCCUGUCUCAGCAUCAUGGUUCGGGAAAAAGUGGUGUACGAAUGGCUUCGAAGGAUAGUUUGCAGAGGUACUUAAGUUUGUCAGGUUCUCUGAAAAAGCAUUCAAGAAGGGAUGAAGCAAUCUUUUACUUAAUUCGGAAGCUCUUGUCAUUGUUAAUGAUACUAUGAUACUCUGAUUGCACGAGUCCAUGAAGCAAGCAAUAAUCUAUCUCAAAAAUUUGUGUCCAAGCAUAUAACGGUACUACAACUUACGAGUUCUGACUAUGGCUGUGUAGCACGCUGACAAGACAAGAGAAUAAUGCCUCUAAGGCAUUUGUCCGAGCUAUGCCGCUUCCUAUCAAACUCAAGUUCGGUGCUCCGUCUGCACUCGAGCAUAGCUGUCGGCCAUCAGCUCGCUCAAGCAAACACGCUGACCGUCCGCGCACGAUCUCCUCCCAGCCUUCGACAUGUUAUUUUUGCAUGCAAGGCUAAUAAGCUAUCUCCACCUCCUUUUUCUGUCCGAGCUCCUCCCUACCCUGUCAAAACCAAAUGCUACCAUCUCCUUUCCUUGGCAUGCUAAAACUUAUGUCAGUUCAUUUUCAUGGAUAGAUUAGUGAGAAUGAGAUUGGGCUCUUUACACUAUACAGAGGAUGAGGAGCUAUAUGUGCUACGAGAUGUUGCUUGACGUGUGGUUCUGGGACCUUCUGUUGUUCAAAUUACAGCUCCCUUAUUUAGUACUAGGCAUUCCCACUGAUACUGACGAUACAUGGAGCAUUUCCAGCAGUGGCAGUAGAGACAUGUAGCACCACUUCUUGGUAGAUUUUGUCCAUUUACUUUUUGUAUCCUUUGAAUUAGAAUAUUCUGUGCAAGAUUUGAGUUUGAAUCUGGUCAAAUUAAUCUUGUACUCUCUGAA